GCAUUUCAGCUCUGGAAAUUGAAAUUCUUAUGAACCUAGGAACAAGAACAUUAAAAAAUGCACUAAAUUUCAUAAGAACUGACACUUUUUCUUUGUGUCCCUAAAGGUCUGCCUGCUCACGUUUAAUACAUACCAACUGGAUUUAAUAACUUACUUUUUGCAAAAUAAGGCAGGAAACCAUCAGCAGAGUGGGCGUCUGGGCUCUUAAGGCAAUAAACUGAACCAAACAAGCCCAUAACCAGCAGCCGCGGUCAUUUCUCCUUUGCUCUCGUAUCGGGUGGUCCUUCCCUUUUCCUGCCACAUCACUUGAACUGCUGCUCAGGCUCUGUACCUGAUCCUGCUAAGGCUGCCAAAGGCACAUGUCAGAGCUGGCAGAAUGUUGACAGGAACUCAUAAUAACUUCCAAUAGCCAAGGUUUUUGUUAAGGCUGAAAAUGCAAGUUCUGCAGGAUUAAGUUGAAUUCUUUUGCAGUAUAGGAACCAAGGAGGUAAUUUUAAGGAUGUCUAUCACCACUGAAAACAGGUUUCUCCACAGCAGCCUGCUUCUGCGUAGGUAGGAUUAGAAAUAGGGCAGUAGCCUUUACAGGGGAUUAUAGAAUCUGAAGAGAGGUGGGAAUGACAUAGGGCUGCAGAUGGGCAAUGAUCUUGUCAUUGGGCUUCUGAAGCAUGAUUGUUAUCAUCACACAUUUUGGACUUUGUGGAUUUUUUCCUUUCCGAUUUGAAAGCCAAAUUAGUGAAUUUGCAUAGGAGUACCUGAGGGAUUUUGUUGUUUGUUUGCUUGUUUUAGUUUAAGAUCAUUUGGUUAUCUGGACAGAAAAUAUUUGAAACUCAGGAAUGUGAACUCAUGAUGUUUUAUUUUUAUUUUUUUUCAUGUUUCUACAUGGCAAUAUGGUGGCAGUUAUAAAGGCAAUCAAAAUUAAUACAAAUAUCUACCUCAUUUCAGUGACAGUUGGGAGAGAAAUAGAAGAAAUGGUGUUUUAAUUAUUAGCUAUGAGACUGGUGAUUAAGAAUGACUUGAUGGAGAAUUUUAACAUAAGAAUCUGCAGCGUAGUGACUCUACAUGAUAGAUACUGACCUAAUUUUUGGCAACUAAGUGCCAUAAACAUCAGCCCUGAUAUAUCAGACUCAGCAUCUGCUAAGAUGUCUUAAAACUUUUAAAAAUUAAUGCACAGAGUGAUGAAAAACUGCUGUACAUCAGCAUGCACUUUGUCUAAAUGCAAAUAUUCCAUCCUCUAACCAGCCCAUAAAUAUAUUUUAAAAUGUAAAAAGAAAAUAAAAGGUCUUUCAUAGCUGAUGUAGCAGCAGAGCCAUAAUAUUUCCUUGUUUGUGAUGUUACAUGCUGUUUGUUUAAAAGAAAUCUGUGUUUUCAUAUUAGAUGUUCAUGAUUGUCUCCACCAGUCAAAAUAUCAUUCUUUAUUCAGACAAAUAAGCAAAGCUUCAGAUUUAUUAAUAUCAUCUUUUUAACGUUGUGCUGAAAAGGGCAUCAUGUCCCUGGUUGAAAACGUGAUAACUUGAGGGAAUUCAUGGCUAUAGUUGCUUUGUCAUUCUAAGGACAUUGAUUUUUUAUUUAUAUAAAUCUACAGCAGCAGGUUUGUGGCUCAUUGAUUUGAGUGCUAAAUGCUUAUAGGGACACAACUAAAUGCCAAGCUGUAGAUGAAUUUAAGCUACUGGGCAUACUUAAACACUGGACAUCUCAAGCCUGUUUACUCCAAGUCUGAAUGUCAUGAAUCUGUCUCUAAGUACCCUCUGUGAAAAUUCAAAAUGUUGUGCAGAAAGUCUUAUGCUUACUGAUCCAGCUUUGGCAUCCUUAAAUACAAACAGGCAUCCGGUGAUGGAGGUAGCUGUGUUGCUGCCGUGGCGGUAUCAACAAAUAUUAAAUGCAAAAUUGUGACUGGAAUCUAUUAUUCCAAAAAUAUCUGCACUUCUGAAAGUCCCCUUUCUCUCCCCCUCUCUCUCCAACCCACACCCUUAACGCCAGGAUUUUUGGGAACCUAAGGACAGACAGUGAGAAAAUAAAGAAUUCAGCUGCUGUGUGCGCUGAAAAGAUGACUGCUCUAGUUCUAAGGAUUUUGUUUGUUACUUUAAGAAAAAAAGGCAAAAGCGUGCAGUUUGCUGUGCUACAAUUACUUCAGAAAUGCUGUAAAUAAUUAGUGUGUUAAAGCUUGUGCUCGUGUUUAAAGUGUGAGCAAAAGCAUCGGUAAAAUGCAGUCAAAAGUCCUGAGCAGUGGCACAGUGUAAGGAAGGAAAUCUCCUGCACACAAUAGAGAUUAAAUGCUCCCUGUGCAUACUGUAUUCUGCACAGCCCUCGCUGCUCUGAGCCGGGACUGUGGCAGUCGUUAUCUCGAGCAGGUUCCUUGGUGAUUUUCGAGCCCUGCACUACCUACCCAAGUGGCAGUGACACCAGCUUUCACUGAAGCCUUAUUACUCUUAAAAGAGCAAUUUGGUUGGUUGCACGGCUAUUAGGAUCAGACAGUCAGGCUUAAAGCUGUCAGUACAACUGCUUCUCAUCUUUUUUCACAAUCCUGACAUCUUUUCUCUUUUCUGCUGGACACGAGCAUUACUGUUUUUAUCAUUUUCAAUCAAGCUCAUGCUGCAAGCUGAGGAAUAUAUUCCCACAGAAGCCAAAGUGAGAGCAGAAAUUAUUUUAUAGCUGCUGUAGUAGCAGUGGUGCUGGCUGCAUGUUGUGUGGGAGAAAUCGGAUCAGUGAGAAAUGUGGCUUUCCUCAGGGCUACAUCAGUGAGAUAUUACUUCAACAUCUAAGGAUAGCAAGGCUGCUCCUUGCUCUGAUUUUUCUAUGAUUAAUCACUCCUCUUUACGCCAGCAGAGUAUGCAGAAAGUGGGGGAGAAGAUGUAAGAUAAUUUUUUUUUGGAAAAGAACUUGUGGAAAUGUUAUCAUCAGUGAGACGGGGGAAAAUCACUAUGCUUGAACUUCUUUUCAUUUUGAUGUUGCUCUUCUCUGGACCAACCCUGAGCAAGCUUAGCAGGACCAAAGGCAAACACUGGAAGGGGGGUAAGUGGAAAGAAAAAGUUUCCUAAUGGAUGUUUGGGUAGGAUUUUAAGAAGAUUCCUUAAGGAUGAUCUAAGGUGAAUAACUAUGCUGUUCUGAAUGACUAAGAUUUUAGAUUAUUGUGUGUACUUGAAAGAGGGUAUUGAAAAGGGAACACUGAGUUUCAUUUGUUUUCUUGUUAGUUUUCUUGGCUGCCUCUGUAGGGCGUAUAUUCCUUGCAGGAAUUCUACUUUGCAUGUUAUUAUUAACAGAAUAGCAUUUAAGGCCUUUAUAUAAAUAAAUGCCUAUCAUUUAGAAACUGGUGUUUUGUUGUGCUUUUUUUUUUUUUUUUUUUUUUUUUAACUGUGACAAUUUAGAUUGUUAUUUGCAUUAUGGAGACUCUGGGACUGAUAAUUGUAGUUGUGUGGCAAGAAAUGUUCCCCCCAGCACAGGGGAUUGUAGUGCUAUAAAAGAAGAGCAGGGAAAAGAGAAAGCAAGCAAGAAACCUGUUUUGAGUGCAGAAUUGUUAGUGUACAUAGUAAAAAUGAAUAGACAGACUUUUUUUUUUUUUUUUUUUUUUUUAAAUACAUGCAUGUUGUGAAAUGCACUGCCAGCAGCACUAAUUGGCUGACUGGCUGUAUCAGUGUUGAUGUGGUAAUAAAGAUAAAUUGCAUUAACUUUAUCGGAAAAAAUGAUGUGCUGUGAAAAAACUUACGAUUCUUGAAGGCAGCAAUCCAUUCUCUUCUGUUAAAAUCUGCUGGGAAGAUUUACCCUAUGUGUGCUGUGAACAGUUCACUAAAUGUGCCUUUUCAUAAAGUUCACUUUGUUUUGCUUCCUUGUGUGACAUUUGUUUAUGGAAAACACGGGUUAUCGAGGUCUCAUAAUCAAAUAGCUCAGUGAGCAUAAAUGGUAUCUCAUAAAUAUUUGGACUGAGGGACUGUGGCUUGUAGAUAGCUAGAUGUUUUCUCCUGGUUGUUUCUUGAUGUUACUGAUUGGAUGCACCCCAGGUUUUUUUUUUGUUUUUUUUUUUCUUACAAGCAUUGCCACAGCGUGAUGUGUUUAUCACAGCUUUAAUAGCACUUUCUGUCUUCCUCUGCUGUCAGUAUUGUGAUCUGAGGUUAAAGAGUAGCAUCAGCAUUAUAAAGAAGUUUUAAUAAUUUAUUACAACAUCUCAGCAGGAAUCUCCUCCCUCUCCCCUCUGUAUUUCCUUUUGUUGCAUUCAGAGAAAUUACAAAUCUUCUACUUUCUGUACUUUUCUGGAAAAGUUGCAGCGCACACUUAACCUGGACUAUUAAUACGGCACAGUACGUCUGCAAAUUAUUUCCUGGUUCUGUAAAUCACAUUAUCACGUGUAUCUCACAGUGCUGCUGGGUAUCCUCCUUGCAAAUUACAAGCUGUUAUUUACUCUCAGCAGCAUGGUCUCUUCUUAGAGGCACGUGAGUUAGGAAUAUAUGUUACUGUCAAGUUCCUGGAAUUUCAAAAAUGCUGUUAACUUUUUUCCUUUUUCCCAUUUUCAGUUAACUUCUGUAAAUAAGUGGUUUACUGCUUCAGUCUCUUACUUAUUAUCUAAUAGAAGCCAAGCACUCUACUGAGGAAUUUUGGUCAUGAGUCGAAAAUAAUCCCCGAAUCUGACUGAGGAAAAUAAUACUUUACUAUGGGGUUUUGCUUUUCUUAAACAUGUUCUUUGCACCUGAAACAAAGAAUAAAGAAGGUACCUCUUCCAAGCAUGCUAACAAUCAAUUUGUCUUGCUCACUCACAGCUCCUUAAAUCAACUGAAAAUUAGGCUUACCUGAUGUAAGCUUUUGCAUGUGGAUGUCAUUGCUGUGUUGCUUGAAGAUGAUGUGUGUUUUUCAGUGAAAGUGUUACAUUUGGGAUCUGCCAGAGUAUGUUUUGGUGUUAUGUAGUCUGAGCAUUUUUGACCUUCAAAACGUGAUACACACCUCUCUUUCUACUGAGCAUCAAGAAGCUCCUAUGUCAACGUGAGUUCUUUUUCUGUGGCCUGUGUGUGAAAUCUAUGAUGCUGCUUGGUAAAAUUUCUGCACAGAUGCUUCUCCACUGGAGAUACACUGGACAACUCAUCCAAGAAUGGAAACACAUUUUUUAAGAUGUUCAGGAGAUCUGGGAACCUGCAUACCAACUUGCAGCUAUGUUGUUUAGAGGGAAAGUAUGAUGCUAGAUAUGUGCAUCUGGAUAUAGGCAGUAUAAAUAUUAGUUUAGCUAUACUGAAAUUGUUUUCCAUGAUGGACAACAGUAGCUAAUCCAGAGCAUCCUCACAAGUUUUUCAGUAUCACAUCUUAUUUCAACAGUGCUGCGAAAUACAGACAUCUUUGGAAAGUGCUGAUCUUCCAUGUCUACAUAGGCCCUAACCAUGAUCAUCCAGGUUAAUGAAUCUCAAAAUUCUGCUAAUAUGACUUUAAAAACUUCAUUGCUGAAGUUACAAGUUCUGAUAGGUUAUUUUGUGGUCUUGCUGUGUAGUUCUCUCUGUUAUUCAUAAGAAGAUCUAUUUACUUCUGUAUUUUUCUUUGGAAUUUACUCUAAAAAAAGUCUGCCAUUAAAAUAAAUGGCAUUAGAGGUAGAAAUUGCUUCCUGAUUUAGUUGCAGUGUUAGUUGUGAAAGAAUGAAAUUAGUUGCAUACUUACAUGGUCCUGAAGAAAUGGAAAGAUAGCACUUUCUUUUCUAGCUAUUUUUAAGUCUGUACUCCAGAAAACUUUCAGAAUAAGUCAUUGGAAUGCAGUGCUUAAAUGUACCCUAAACUGGAUUUAUAAACUAGCGUUCAAGAUAGACUGCAGUCUGAAAGCAGAACCUGGGAAUACAAAUCAACUGGAUUUGCUUUUUCCCUUUGAGCCAAAAUAGUACUAUGUGAUUCAAGUUUUUAAGAAGGAUUUAUAAUAUGGAGAACAAAAAACUGGGAAAAGAAGAUUAAGUGCUCUUUUGAGUUUACCUUAAAUCGGAAAGCUGAUUUCAAGUGUUGCUAAUACCUAUCCCCUCCUGAAUUUGUUUCCAGUGUUUUCAGUCUAUCACAUACCAUAGGGAGAAAGAAAAUUAAAUUUUAUACGUAUCCAUUCGUAUAUAUGCGUAUGUGCUGUCUAUUUGGUGGUGUCGGGGAGAGUUUGGGAAACUGUCCAUUUGUGUUAUGUUUGGGUAUAUUCCCAGCACUUCCUUCUUACUAAUAGUGUGGUGAUAUUAAUUCCCAAGCGAGGAAAAUUGUAGCAGUGAUUCACAUUUACUGAUCUUCAGGCAAUAUCAAAUGUCCCCUACAUCUGUGAGUGGUGUGUCACAUCUGAUAAACACCACACACAAAUGUGAGUGGGGCUGAGGAGCACUAUUUUCCAAGCUCUUGCCAAAGGGCCCAUUACUGUUAGGACAUCAGCCUUGUUGAAGAGUUCACAAGGGCAAACUAGCACUGUACAGAGAAACCAUUCCACAUAGUCAUUGGAUAUUACUUCAGCUGUAAAACAGCAAAAUGCAUGGGGAAAAGAAAAUCAUGUACGAUGCUUGUCUUCUGGUAAACAUCAGUGCAUUUUAUAACGAUGCUUGAAAGCUCUGUGACAGAAAGAGUUCAGACAAGAAGAGGGAUAACAUUAAGUAAAUCGCAAUUCCUGGCAGACAUUAACCUUCUAUUCAUCCUGGGAAGACCUCGCUUGUUCAGUCUGGGGAAUAGAUGCACUGUCCCAGAGCAUCAGGCGCUAAUGAAUAGAACUGGCUCCUGGCCUGACCUGGUGGCCUCUGUAGCAUCACCAGUUCCCAUCCCAGCCAGAAGGUUGCAGAGUGGGCCACCGAGGGAUGGUCCUCAAGGGUGCAUCUCAGAGGGAGAGUGUAGAAGGACUCUGCAUGGGACAGAAUGCCCCAGUGUAGGACCAGAACACUGAAAGUGCUGUCAGCAGUGCAAACAGAGCAAACCACCCCACAGAACUGAAAGAGGACAGACAGUACCUGUUCUUUUUAGCUCUGGGGAAGUGAAGCAAUAAACCUUUGUGACUAAAUCAAAGUUUAUUAUGCAAGUGAUCCAGCCUUAUAUUUCAGUUUCAGUUUCAUCUCUACAGCAUUUAAUCGUUUUUAUGGCAAAGAAUAUCAGUGACAGAAAUCUAGAAGUGUCACUUUCUCAGUCUUACUGGUAGGGGUAAUACAAAGGUAUGUAGGUGAGGUUCAGUCAUCCUUGCAGAUUGAUCAGUACAUGUUAUUUAGGAUGAAUGUAAUUAUCAAUGCUAGUUUAAAUGUUUUUGAAAGCACAAUUCAGAGAUCAGCUCACAAAAGAAAAUUUCUAUUAACUAACCUUCCCUUCCACACAGAAAGCAGCCACCCUUCAGACCGACCAAACGUGGAGGUAAAAUUCUGUAAUAUUAAAAUAGUGGUGAGAGUAUUAGAUUUGGAGGUGUGUUACUGGACUGCUGGUAGGUGCCUGGUAGCUCUGGAUAACCAGACAUCUCAGGUACGGAGAUAUUAUCCACACAGAACUACAACUUUACAGUGCAUGCACACUGAGUUUGGUGAAGAUAGUACCCUGAGAUGUGCUAGAUUGGUAAUGAGAAGUCUCAGUGUGGUCACAAAGUCCUACACAUCAAGAGCACAGUGAAUUGUAAUAGAUGUUUAGAUCUCUUCUUGGCAGCCUCUCAACAAUACUGUUUGCUUCCCCUCUGGGGAAGCUCAUUACACUUUUUCAACACCAGGAAGCUGUUUUCACCUGCAUUAUGACUGUGGGGUGAUGAAAGAUGGGGUUUAUGGAAAGUAGGAAAUAGAGAGGAGAUACUUCUGUGGCUGCAGAUAUCUUGGCCUUCAGUGUGACUUAUCAUGAGGCACAAAGAUCUGUUCAGCUGUGAUGAGGCGGAGCUUUUUAGUAUGAUGGUUGUGAGUUUCAACACUGUCAGCUGUGCUGGCAUGAUUCACUGUGUAAUGUAUGUAAUUUUGAGGGUACAUGUUAUAUAAUUUACCAUUUGUCUAAUUUAAGUAAAUUAUUUCAUGGAAUUUCAAGGAUAAACUGCAUGGAUCCUUUUUGAGUACUUUCUCAUGCUGGAAGGUUAAUUAACAGUAUUUCUUAUACAGUGAAACAUCAAAUAUGCUGCUAUGCACUAGCACACUGGAAAAGCUUAUAAAAUGCUGAAACCAAGUUUCAAACUAAGGGUUCCUAAAAUUAAUUCCCUACAUUUUAUAAGAGAAACCUGAUUUUAAGUAGUAUUGAAAAUUCACAUUAUUUUUAACUUCAGAGGAAGCUCAAUAUAUUUGAAGAAGUGACUUGUGGAUAGAUAUGGAUCUAAAAAAGUAAUUUUAGAACCUAAGGACUGUAAGUGUGGAUAUGCAGUUUUAGUCUGACUGUAAGUAUAUAAAGUGCGUGACUACACACAGCAUGUGACUUCAUGUUUUGAAUAUGUUCGUAAUAGUUUUACUUUUAAUAUACUUAAAAUAAAAACGAGUAUUUAUUUGGAUACUGAGUAACAGAAAUGAACUGGUUUUUAUUCAGUCUUCUGUUUGCUUUUAAGUCUGGACUUAGUUCCUAUCCCACAAUAACAAGGAAAUUUCUGCAUCUUCUUUUACAUUUUCUCUUCAGAGUGAAAUCUGAAUUCAAAGGGACUCUGCUGCUGUGUAAAGCUUUCUGUACACAUUUUCUUGAAGCAUUCAACCCUUUCUCAUCUAAUUUUAAACUCUUUGAAAGUGUUUUAAAUAUAAUAAAGAGGUCUGGUAACCCAUGCGCAAAAGCACAGCUGGAGACAGUGUAAAAUUGGGGAAUGGAAAACCAAGUUUGUGAGAUUUUCCUUCUCAGCUGGAAGGUUGGAAUGGAAAAUGUUUGGGUUAUUCCAGCCAUGAAGGAGCAAAUUAUAAGAACAUAUAAUAUCUAUUUAAGUACAGAAAGUUUUGUUCACACAAAACCAAACGGUAAUGAGUAAAUGUAGGCAGAAAGUAGGAGGAGUGUCUCCAGCCAUUACUGAGAAAGGGCUGUCAACUUUUGGCAAAAGAGUCAAUCCACAGUCUUCUUUAAAUGCUGCCAGUACUGGCUGCAGGCUCCCAACACCUCAUUCACCAGAGUCAGCGUGGACAACUACUGGCACCCCUAUCCAGGGAGUUGAUCCAGGUAACAAGAUUGGAUAGUGUCUAUCUAGCUGAUGGGAUUCCUUAAUUCACACAGUCUCAGGUGACAGGUAAACCUAGGGCCAUGGCCACGAGAGAAGAGGUUACAGUCAUGGCUAGAUUUAAGCUAGUUCAGACUGGUACAUAACUUCAGCCUCCAGGUCAGGAUUAUCCAGAAGAGAGAAAAAAUAUAAAAUAAAAAAAUUUAAUAAGGUGACACCUUCCUUUGAAUCCUAUGUCCACAUCCCAUACUCAGAGUCUUGCUUGAAAUGUUUGCUAUCAUAUUAAAAAGUAUGUUGAUCAAAUAGUUAUAAUACAGAAGGAAUAUUUAAAUACUGGUCACCUCCACGGAUAUGCACACACAUCCCUUUCCUCAGGUUAUUUGCAUUUAUUUUUUUCUUAAAACAGAUUUUGGAAUUGCUGUACUGCAUCAUUGAUGUUAGAAAGCUAGUAAACACAAGUUCUCUCAAUUAGGUCCACAAAUAAAAUGUGUUCUUGUAAAUUGCCUCGUACUUGUUGAAAGAGCUUGAAUCAAAGAUUCAAAAGGAUAAACAGGCAUCAAUACACAUCAGUGCAUCUGAUAAAAAGUUGUUUUGGUUUCCUCUUUCUGCCAAUUUUGAAAGACAGUGAUGUUCAGGAGAUAAACACUAUUGAUUUUUGACUUCAAGGUAUGAUCUAAGGAGUACUUAGAGUGCACUUUCAAGAGCCAUUAAUAGAUACCUCCACAAAAAAUUAUUUGUUUUGAACAUUCAAAAUUGGAGUGUGGGGGGAUGAUUUUACAGGUGAUUUAAUCUUGGUAUAUGAUACUGAAACUGCUAACAAUUAAAAGCUAUUUGUAUUUUAGAGCUGCUGUUCAAUAAUGACAGCACCUUCAGUAGAAAUUGUUUUUUUGGUCUUUUUUGUCUGAAUUAUAAAAUCUUGUUCUCAGCUAAAUUGUGUCACAUUAACUCUCAUUCUAGAACUUAUUUCAUUUUAUUAGUUUGGAGACUUUAUCCUCUUAAGCUAGCUAAAUAUUAAAAUAAAAUCAUGGUUGCAUAUAUGUGUUGCACAGACAAGCAAACCAUAAUAAUUCAGGAGCAUCAAGACUAUUUUUCUGCUUUCCACGAUUUUCCCUAAAAACCUGUGCAUUUCAUUGCUGUGUUUCCUUGUAUAAGGAAACUCAAAUAAAGUAAUGGAGAAAACAGAAACAAAAAUUAGUUUUGCUUCUAGAGAUGCUGAUCACUCAGCAGAAGCUCUCAGCAAUAUGGUUUCUCAACCUCCAUAAAAAUCAAGUUUCUGAUAUGACUAAGUAUAUAGACCCUCUUUCCUCCCGGCACCUAUGUACUCUGAAUACCAACAGUCUUUACUGCUUCUUGAUUUCCUCCCAGGCACAGGCAUGUGUGCAGUUUCUAUGCUAGUGUGGUUUAUGAUGAGAGUUUACUGAUAACAGUCUUUGCAGCAGUUCCAAGUAUGGCUGUGGUUACAGUGGCACAGAGGAGUAAGAAACUCUUCAUAUUUACUAUCUUUCCCAUGUAGGAUGCUGGAUAAGGACAAAUGAUACUACUCACAUUAAUACUGUGUUCUGCUUUAUUUAACUUGCUGCCAGCUGGAUUCUGAGUGUUUUUUUUAAGUUUGUGUCAUCAGUUUUGACAUUUUAGACAGAGAAUGACAGAGGUUCACCUCACUGCCCAAGAUUGCUGUCUCUGGCUCCGUAAUUUAAACUUCCUGUAAGUCCAUUGUACCAACAGUGGAAAAACAGACAAAAGCAGUUCUUAGCUUUGUGGAAUAAAGCAGUUUGCUUCCUGUACACUGCAUUGUUAAGAGAAGAAAUUGAAGAAUAUUUACGUAAUAUUUACUAUAGAAAAAGUGAAUAGAAAUAGUCUUCUCAGUUAUGGAAAAAUUGAGAACAAGUUGCCACGCAAUUUAAAUGUGCUACUGAAUAUUUUCACCUAUGGAGGUAAGGGUUCCUUAAAACUUUUAGAGAAAGUACUAACAAAUAAAAGCUCUUGUCAGACACAUCCAGAGAGGCAAUAAACAAAUUUAUAAAAAUUUAUUCUAUUCUAAAAAGCUGACUUCAAUUGUAUUUUUAGAUUCCACUGACACGUUGAAAAUUUGCAUUCCAUUGUCAUACUUCUUGUAAUUAGCACUUUGAGAAAUCACAGAUACUGUUUCAAAUUUUUACAUCGUGAAAAAGUGUGGGGAGAGUCCUUUUUUUUGCAGUCAUUCCUUUCAGUGUUUCUCCUAGAAAAUGGUUGAUAUACCAAAUGUGUCACUUCUGAUUUAAAAAUUAGCAUACAACUGAGAAUACAUUGUCCUUGGGGUAAUGCCCCUGGAUAAGUGCCUUUUGCAAAUAUAUGGUCAUAUCUUAUUUCUUGUACUUGCUUGAGAAAAACUGCCACAUUUUAGGUGUAACUGGAAUAUAUGUAUCGUCUUUCCUGCUAUAGUCUGAAAUAAUUCUACUGAAAUUUAUGGAAUCAUGUCAAUUUAAAUGAGGGGAGAGUCUGCUUUUGAAUCUUAGCUGUAAAAUCAUCCAUUUGGUAAUCAGUCAUGGCAGUUCUCACUAGGUAGUGCUUGUCUGAUAACAGAUCUAGGCAGCUGGAAAGACGCUGAUCUGAAGAUGAGAGUGUGGAAGUCCUGAGGGUAAUGAAAAAAGAGGCAAAAAUAUGACACUGAUGAAGUUCUCACUGCUUUAUAAUAGUUCCUAUUAGUUAAAGUGGUUUCUUCCAACUAAUGUUUUUUGUAAAACUUAAGAAUUUGUCUUCAUAAUUUACUUUAGACCCAUUGUCCUGCUGUGGGUCUAAAUGAACUGUUGUUAUCUGACCAUUUGAUUAUUCUUGGAAUUAAUACGGAUUGAUAUACCAGCCUAGAACUUGUUUUAAUGAAUUAUUGUCUUCUCCAGCAUCAAGAAUCUCUUCAGCAAUUAUAAAUUUAUGUGUAAAGUCUUUUCAAAGAUAUCAUAAAAUUUACAUUAAUAAAUCAUUUAAUAAUAAUGAUUUGGUUGCAUAGCAUGGUGAAGAGUAAAGUGUUCAUUGAAAAUCUGGACAAUGGUCAGUUUUUACAUUUUCAAUUUUUAUUUUCUCUGCUUCUAGACUGUCUGGCUUCUUUUUUUAAAAAGUGACAACACUGACAGUCUUGAAAUAUGAGUAAUGAUGCUGUUGAUGAUCACUGUGGAAAAAGGUGUAGAAUGACUGCACUUUGCAGAAAUUUCCUUUUUUUUUUUUUUUUUUUUUUGAGUGGAAAAUAUGUUGGAAAGUUCUCCAACUUUUGAAUGAUGAAGAGCAGGAAAAAGGAAAGAAAACAAACUCAAUUUCUUGGUGCUAUUGAGUUGUGUGUAUUGAAAGAAAAAUGUGUUUUCUUUCUUCCAAGAAGAGAGCUGUGGAAGUUGAACAAGCCAGUCAUAAUAGAAUUACACCAUUUACUUCUAAAGGUGUUCCUGGAUCCUCCCAACACAGUGUAUGACAAGAGACACUCCACAGAGUAUCAGGACAAAUAUACACUUUUACUCUGGGGGAAAAGUUUUUUGGAUAAUGUGUACAUUGACCUUUAUUUUAAGAGGGAUCUCAGUGAAGUAGAAAGAUUCUCUGUUUAACAUAGUAUUGCUUUACUCUUUACAGCAGCCAGGCAUAGGUCUUAUUUCAAAAUAGAAACUAACAGAAUUUCACUCCUUCAGAGCAUUGUAGCUCCUAGGAACUUUGUUAAAUUUGAUUUUUGUUUAUCCUGUCUCAACUUCUCCUUCAUCUAUUUUCAUGUUCAGUGUAUGAUCUCAUCUAUUUGUAAAUUGUCAUCUUAUUUUUAAAGGACAUUUUACAGUUAUCUUCAGCAGGUAUUUAUCAGAGACUUCUUAAUUUAUUUCAAUCUGAUUAUAUAGCCUUUUAACUGUAUGUAAGUAGAAAAACAUUUCUGUUAAUGAAUUUUAUCUUAAAUUAUUGCUGUAGAGGUACAACAUUAGAAAUAGUUUUUUUGUUGUUGUUUUUGGCAACAUAUUUUACUUAAUCUAUAUUCUUGGAAAAUAUUGUUUGACAUCUUGAUUGAUUUUCUUUCUGCCGCUCUUUGGUAGUAUACUAUUUACGUUAAUCUGAAAGGAACAUAGGAACUAGUAAAAGUUUUUGAACACUUAAAUUACAAAACAUGCAUUGUCUUCCAUGUAUUCUUAGAGUCAUAGAAUGGCUUAGGUUGGAGGGGACCUUAAAGAUCAUCAAGCUCCAGAAGCUUGCUGUGGGCAGGGUUGCCGCCCACCAUCUCAGGCCGCCCAGAGCCCCAUCCAGCCUGGCCUUGAGUGCUUCCAGGGAUGGAGCACCCACAGCUUUUCUGGGCACCUAUGCCAGCGCCUCAUUGCUCUCUGUGUAAAAAAUUUCCUCCUAACAUCUAACCUAACUCUACCUUUUUAGUUUAAAGCCAUUUCCCUCUUGUUCUAUCGUUGUCAGAUCAUGUAGAAAGUCACUUUCCCUCCUGCUUAUAAUCUCCUUUCAAGUACUGGAGGGCUGCAAUGAGGUCUUCCUGCAGCCUCUUCAUUUCCAGGCUAAACAAUCCCACUCCCUCAACCAAUCUUCAUAGAAAAUGUGCUCCAGCCCUGUUAUCAUGCUGGUGGCCCUAAUUUGUGAGGGUUAUUCUCUGAUGCUUAUAGAUAGUUGACAAAGCUGCUAAAGCCUACUUCAAGCAAAUGCUAUAUAAAAAAGCUUGCAUAUGCUCUAAAAAAGUACAGCUCAUGUAGAGAAUGUGAGGUGUGUUGAGAACACAGGACAAUAUAAUGUGUACAUACAUGCAAAUUUACUUGAUCUGUAUUGAUCUUUUCAAUUCCCUUUCCAAACAGUGAACAUGGUAAUUUCAUUUUAUAGAUAAUGUCAUUUGAGGCCCUGAAUCAGUUUCGCAGUACACAUUUUUGAUUCAUGUCAAGGGCAGUUGCUAGCUGUAAACGUAUCUGUUCAUAAUCUUUUCAGCAGAAAUAAUGCAUUGACUGAUAUGUUUCAUGGCACAUACAUUGUCUUUGCGUAUUGGGAAAGAUCACAAGAUGAUCUAUAUGAUUCAUCAAUCACUGAAAAAGCUGUAGGCAGUCACCACAAAGUGAAAUUUUGUUAUGUGUUUAGAAAGAAAAAUGAUUUGAAGAAUACUGACGUUCUAUGACCACCAUCUUCCACAAUGUAAUUUGGAGUUAUAUUGUUUUACUAUCUUUAUUCAUUGUGCGAGCAUAUGUAGAUCUUGGGUUCCUGUUUUACCCUGUGGUAUGAACAAUGGAUAGAAGCAGAAAGCUACUUAUAAGCAUUCCUUAUUUAUUCCUGUAACACCCAAAUCGUUCUUCAAAUGAACAUCAGCCUAAAGAUUGAUCCUUUUUCUGCCUAGUUUGCAGGAUAGAUUUACACCAAUCCACACAAUUACCAACAGGCAGCAUGCCAUCCUUUAGUAAAUUAUCCUGUUAGUUUUCAGAAACCCUGUAGAUAUGGGCUUCUAUAGUGGUGCUAAAGCAUAGCAGGAACUGUCAGUUAACUUGUUCAAAAUGCAAAGGAUAUGCCAUUUGUAUUGAUUGCUAUAGAUUUUUGCCUCAUCCAAAGGAAUUUGUAUUUUUUUCAGUGAACUUGUAUUGAGAAAAGUGAAAGCAAAUAAUGGCUAGACAGAAAUGACAUAUUCCAGAUUUCAAAAGAACUCAAAACUUUAAAUUUCUCAUGCAUACCCUUGCAUUCCUUGUUUCUAAGGCAUCCAAUCACGUCUGUCUUUUUGCCAAGAGAGCGACACUAAAACGGGCUGAAAACAGCAUCCUUUCACUUUGCAUUAAAGUGAACAGAACAGCACUCAGCUUUGUGCAUUUCAAACUCACUGCAAUAAAAGUUUUAAGAGAUAAGAAGCUUUUUCUAUUUCAGGGUUGCCAUUAGCUUGAAUAAUACAUAAACAAGGGAAAAGGUCUGAAGUCCUAUUGAGGAUCACAAUAUAGCUUCAAUUAAAUUAUACAUCAUUAUCACAGCUGCCAAGCAUGGUGUGGGAUUUUAGACCCCCAUCUCACUAAAUGUUCUAUGUAGCUGUCUUGUCCAAUUCUUUUUUCUUCUUCUGCUCCCCCUCCCCCCCCCCCCCCCCCAAACACCAAUAGCGCUCUUUGAAAACUCUAGUUAAAGGAAUAAAGCAGAGGAUGAGGUUUGGUUAAUCAAGAAAGAACAUUGAGAUGUCAACAGUCAAGCACCAAGGGAGGGAGAAGGUCAACUUUCUAGCCUUUAAAAACACCAGGGAGAAAUCAAACACUAUUAAGUCAUGACAUAUAUGUUCCUUUUGAACUAGGGCUGCAUGCAGUUCCUCUGUCUGCUGAGUGGUUUGCAGUGCCAGUUGAUUCCCAGUUGAUAAUGAAACCUAUUAUUAAAACAGAAUAGCUGUGGAUGUCCACUGAGCAUGCUUUCAGUAAAUGUCCAUAAAGUUGGCAAUUAUUUUAAAACUCAAUCUGAACAGAAUAUUUGCCUCUUUGUCUGUGGUUCAUUCAGCUUUCUAGCAUAAAAUUUCAUAGCAGCUUAUCAUCAUGGGUGUUUUUUUGGAUGGUACAGUUACUUAGUCAUCCAAGUAGAUGUCAGCUUGUUAUUACCUCUGUGGUGACUUUGACUUUGACAUAAAUCCAGGAUAUACAAAACUAUUAUUGCAUACUUAAGAAAAUCAUAAUGGCUUGUCAUUUAUAUUUAUUCCUAUAGUGUCCUCUAAAAGUGUUAGAAGUGUUUUGACUAAUUAAUUACACUAUUUGCACUCUCAAAGCCACCUCACUUUGCAUUAAUUUUAUCAGUUUGCUUUUCUUCUUUGUAUAGUAUUAUAUUGAUAAAUAUUCUCUCCUGAGUAGCCACAUAAGAAAAACUGAAAUCGAGGUGGCAUUGCAGAGUUCUGUGCUCAGAAUACUUAUUUCAGAUUAUACCCCACCAUUGAUUUUUACAUUGAAGAUGCCUUCGAUUUCAAUGGGUGUUUAACAUGCAGAUCAAUGACAUGUUAUGGUGCUUAAAUGGUAACAUUUGAUAUUUAAAGCUAAAUGAGCAAGAAGAUACCACUGAGUUCCUAGCAGGACUGAAAAUAUCUGAUAAAAAUUCAAACUGCCUUAGCAUUUCAGACAGUUAAAAAUCUCAGAAGAAACAGCUGGUAACAAAAGUGAGAAGAAUUGUCUGAAAAGUAAAAUGAGAAUGUGUAAGUAAAAUCUGGGCUGAAAGCUGUUUGUAAUAUCCCUUUGUUGUGCAAUAACAUGAUUAGUGACCUAGGCUUACUGCAGCCUGUGCCUUGCCUCCAGCAGAACUAACUACUGAGGCAUGUCUUACAGCUGUGUCACAUUUCCUAAGUUCUGUGUCAGUUUGUCUCCCUGAUACAGUAGCUUAUUGUAGAAUUUCAGAAGAGUAUUUAGUUAUAUUAUAUUUGGGAUGGAGCAACUCCAGGCACAGGUCAGACUGGGAGAGGAGUGGCUGGAUGGCAGUACAGCAGGAAGGGACCUGGGGGUGCAGGUGGCAGAAUGCUUAGCGUGGACCAGCAGCACCUUGUGGCAGUAAAGAGGGCAAACUGCAUUUUGGGGUACGGUAAAGAAAGCACAGCUAGCUGGUCAAAAUAGGUGAUUUUCCUGCUAUAUUUAAUGCUACUGCAGCCUCACUUUCAGUGUUGUGUGCAGUUCUGGACUCCACCAUAUAAAAAGGAUGUUAAGGUUUGGUUAAGAGCAAUCAGGCUGAUAACAGAGCUGGAGAUAUGUCCUGGGAGGAGAGGCUGAGGAUACUUUGUCUGUCCGCUCUGGAAAAGAGGAGAUCAAGAGGUGACCUCAUUGCUCCCUGCAGUUGCCUGGGUUUUGGGGGGGAGGGGGAGUGGGUGAAGCAGAGAGAGAUGUUGAGCUCUGCUCCUUGGUUGUCAGUGAUAGGAGGGAACGGCACAAAGCUGCCGGAGAAGCAGCUGAGAAGAAUCAUAUCAUGCAGCCCAUUCACAGAUUCCUUCGGUAAAUAUGAAUUUAUGGCAUGCAGUUGGAAAACUCUUAAUAUUCUUUGUAUAAAACUUUAAACAAACCAUCUACUUUUUAGAUCUGUUUCAGGAACAAAAACAUAUGCUUGACUAUGGAAUGUAGUAUGAGUUUUUGCAAAACUAUUUGACAAUAAUACUCCCAAUCUCUCAGUUCUACACCCAGACCAAUUUUAUUCUGAUGCAGUUUUCAUAAAACUACUUGAAAUCCAUGCAUGUUAUUUACCUCACUGUAUAUGCAGCUUUCAGACGUUAUUUCUUAAACCAAGUUUGUGAUUUCUGCAUCCUCUGUACUGCAAGAAGGACAGCAGUCAGAGGGUGAAGAACUCUUUUGGGUGGUUUGUACAGUUUGUUUAACCAUCAGGCUGCAAGAGAGAUUUUUUGGAUACCAGCUGUGCUUUAGUAUAGACCUUAAAGUGAAAAACAGAAGCUUUGGGCUGUUGCACCAAAUACAUAAAGAGUUAAUUUUUUGCUGUCCUGUUGCAGAAUUAUUUUUUUACUUACAUAGAAAGAGAAGUAGAAGCACCUUCCUCAAUCACUUCUUCAAAAUGACUUGAAAAAUCUGUUCUCCAGCAUGUCACAUAUGCCCUUUAAAACUGCUUCUGUGCUGCUGCCUUCUCUUAUCAGUAUGGGCCAUAAAUUUUGCAUGGAUAUAGAGGGAACUGCCAUGUGAGUACUUGAAAUAGUUAGCAAGAUGCUGCUAAAGCGUACAGACAAAGUACGCUGGCAAUUGGGUCUUUGUAGGCAGGCAUCAUUGUCAAGAUCCAUGGGUGCUGAGUUGUGUAAGCCUGAGGAGCACUAAGGGCCAUCUCUUCCAUGAACCUAAUUUUGGGUGAAUAAAGUCCUUAGAUUCAUUGUGAUAUUGCACGUAAAUGAAAAUACCAAGUGUCAUUGACUUGUCAGUGAAAAAGUAGCUGGGCUUGAUAACAAAUGGAUCAGUGAUGUAUAUUUGGAAGCUCCAUGACAUAUUAAAGUAGUUUAUGAGGCACAAUUUGUUUUGGUGGUCUGCUCUGAUGGAUGAUAUGCUAUCUGCUGCUGCUUCAUCUGUUGUGGUAUGUUUGUAAUAAAUGUUCGUUGCGAGACAGUGCUAAAUGUGUUCCAUCUAGAUCAUUCGUUACUUAUAACAAGUUUCAGUGUAUAUGAAUCAAAGGUUGUUUAUGCUUGCCUUCAAAAGAAUUCAUCAUUUUGAAGCAGUUCUAUCACUUUAAAUGGGGCAACUGAAUGAGUGAGUGCUCAGAAUCUUUCAACAAUUUAUAUUGAAAGCAAUACAGUUAAGUAUGUGCAGUGAUACGUUUAAUACUACUUUAAAAGUUUGUUGUCUGUUGCAGUCUAGCUCACCUGUUUGUUUUCCUUUUUUACUUUUCUGCUUUUGCAAACAAUAGGAUUUUUUGUUUGUUUAUUUAUUUAUUUAUUUAUUAUCAAAAGCAAGCUCUGAGGGACAAGUAGACAACAUUCAUGCAAAAACUGUGAUGUGUCAGGGGAAGCACAUCAGUUGGUGGGAUUUUUGCUGAAGUUGUACAACAACAUAUCACUAGUUCAUCAGAAAACAAUAAAAAAUGUAUGCACUAUCCACAGGAGAUUUUUACUUUCUUGAAAGUGCAGAAUACACCAACCUUGAGCAAACUAUGCACUUCAUUUCUCCAACUUUCUUGGUCCCUUAGUACACUGGGUGGGAAGAAAGACGUACUGGGUGCCAAACAGUUUAUAAAAUAGAUGAGUUUGAAAUGAGAAAGAAGGAAAAAAGCUAAAAUAUUAUAGAAGUAGAGUUGCUGUAAUGAUGGGUUGAGGCUGAACAGUUGCAGCAGCAUUAAACAGUGAAAGGCAAAUGUAUAAUUUGAGGCAGCUUUCUUCUUUCCCUCAGCGGUGUGUAUCCAUGUCCGUGUUAAGUUCAUUGCUUUUUUUUACAUCUAGUCUUUUCAGCUGUGAAUUGAUCUUAUUUCUUUGUUUCUCUUAAUUCUUUCUAUAUGGAAGUCCUUUGUAUGUUCAUUGCAUCUCAUAAUCAGCACUUUCAAGAAUGUCUAUCAAAAUUUGAAAGGUUUUAUACCUUACCCUUAAGGAAAAAAACAAGCUCAAAUGCUUCUGUGGCAUCUGUGAUGAUCUGUGUCAUCUGUACCUCAUAAGGCAAAGCAAUUUAACAUUUGCUGUUUCCUAAAGUUAAUGAAUAAAUAUUAUGCGCCAAUAGAUGCAAAUUAAAUCUUCACUUUUUCUAAGAUCUGUCUUAUAUACCUGUGUCGGGUACCUAAAGGCUCCCUGCUGAAGAAUGAUACUGGGAUGGAACAAAGUAUUCUGACAGUUUUAAGAAAACUGAUAUCUGUGGCUGUGGGCACAAAUUUCUUGUUUUGUAGACAGAGCUGUCCUUGGUAGUUUCUCUUGUUUUUACAAAGACUUGUUUUGCAAGCAGGUGUCCCACUUGGGCACUGUAUCACACACUGGCCACACGGGUACAGCAUGUGAGUGUGUGUAUGUUGAAUAGAACUCCUAACUUUUGUGUUAGCUGCAAUUCCUGGCCCUAGAUGCUCAAAGCUGUGAAAUCUGGUGGUGUGAGGCUUUCAUUUCUGUCAUGUGGGGUAAUAAAAUAACCACCUGUUAUUUCAGGCUUUCAGAAAGUAGUAAAGAUUUAAGACAAAGGCAAGAUGCAGGCCCCAAAUUGUCCUGAUGAUCUUUGACUUGUGCAUAAAAUGAGAAGUGUGAAUGGAAAAGAAGGAGAAAGUAGGCAUUGGGAAUUACCAUAAUUUGGUACUCAGUAAUUCAAAAAAGGAAGUAAGCACAGGGCUCAAGACUGUGCAGAUGACUGCAUGAAUGAGCACUGUGUUAGUUACUGCAUGUGACCAUCCUGCAUCUUCCUACGUACUACUUCUCAGUUACAGGAAGCAAAGUACAGCCACUACCUCCAUUGCCUAGUGUAGAUGAUUUUCUGGAUUGCUGGUAGUAGCUGGCGUUGUGGUAUAACUAGUCAUUUUUCUUUUAUUCAGUAACUCUGAACACAAGUUUUCCUCUCAAAUUUCAUUGAAAUGGUAUGAACCGAGGCUUAUUUUUACUACAAAGGCAGGUCUUCUUACUACCAAUUCAGGACUUUUGACAGUGAUGCAUAAUUCCCACUGUCUCAGGGAGGAAGAAACACAUUUGCCUUUUGAUCCACUUCAGUAUCUUCUACUGCUUGUGCUUAACUACCACAGAGGAAAGACAAAUCUGGGGAUCAGGACUUGAAAACUGCUGUUUUCUAUUUGUCCAUGUCUUGUACAAAUUUAUCUUUGAUGAAGCACAGCAAGAAGUCCUAUCUGCAAGCUUUUUACUGGCUUUUAUGGAACUUACUGUCCUGAUUGCUCUGUGAUGUUCUUUGCUGGUUCUAUCUAGAUCGCUCCAAAAGUAAUGCCUCCUAUUUGUUUCCAUACAAAAUACAACAGGUAUAAAAAGAACAAUAACACUAUUUGAUUGAGUAAAUUCUCAACUACAAAAUGCUAUUUUCAAUGUGGCCACCAACAGUAGCUAUGCAUUUUCAUCAGUAGUGAAAAAGAGCGUGCAUGUUACACUCAUCAAAAUCUGUGUGGACAUCUGGAACAUGGGUUGUCUUUCAUGUUGCUGUCACUGCUGUUGGAAUGCACCACCCACCACUUCACAGUGCUCGCAUCCACUCACUGGUCUCCAUAAAUGUUCAGCAAGCACUGAUGAACAUCAAUGGGUGCCAUUUUUUUUUUCUGCACAAAGGAAAGGAAUUCAGUGACACACCUUUGCUUCAUACCCACUUUUAUUUCAGACACCAUUGUGUCUGACUGCACCUCUGCUGCCAUCUCUCACAUGGCAACAAAAUGUAAUGGAAUACUGGUGGGAAGGUUGAAACAUCUACUGCCAUAUCACCAACAUCCACCUCUAGUGUAGGGGGCCAACAUAAUAAAAUAGGAGGUAUUACUUUUGGAGUAGCCCUGAUGAGGGCUCUGCCCUUUGCCGCAGUCAUCAGUACAAUCUUUUAUCCCCUCCUCUGUGAAAGUAAAUUUGACCUUACAAUUCUUGUCUGGAGAGAGCUAGCCAGUAACCAUAUAGAGAUCUGAGUGAAGCAGAUAUUACAUGAUCUGCCACAUUCUACCGCCUUUAUCUCUUACAGCACAAUAAAAAAAAAAAAAUUGCUCCUAUAAUGGCUAUUUUUUGCUAAUUCCCUAGCUGUUCCUCACUAAAGUACAAUUAAUUCCAAAUGGGGCUUCCCAUACAGAAAAUUACUGAUGGAACAUCUGAAAAAAAAAAAAAAAAAUAGAGCACAAAACCAUGGAAAUGCACAAGAGGAGGAAAAAAAAAUGCAAAAGUCACCAUAUGCUACGCUCUUUGUUUCUCUCAUUUGCAUUCUAAGGUUUUUAGGUUUUUUGUUGCUGUUGUUGUUUUUCGUGGUUGUUGCUGUUACUUUUUGAUUUCUAUUUCUCACUUCUUAAUUUGUCCCUGUUUACCUGUUCUGGUGAAGAAGCUGUGUAUAUAAUGUGGGUAUGCUUUGUGGGUCCCUAACUUCCAGAGUCCGCUUUUGAAAUGACAAGGCUUCCUAUACAGUUAAGUUUGUUUGAUAAUAUAUUUUUUUUAUUAUCAUUGUACAUUAUUUUAAGUAUUGGGGACAAAAUAAAGAAUUAAGCUUUUAAUUUUUUAGAAACUUCUGAAAAUGUGACUGUGAUAUUACUGUCCCUUAGUGGUUUACUGUGCAAAAGACAUGGGUUACCAAUAUUUUCUUUUAAAAUAUUUGAACUCAGUCUUUAAGAAGUUGCAAAAAUCAAUUUUGCUAGUAAUUAGAAUUAUAGAAUUUCCUGCCAGUAAAUAUGCUAAAUAUAAGGAAGCAUUGAACUGCACAAGGUCAAUACGUUUUGCUUUCAAAAUAUAUCCUAAUAUCUGUUAAUGUAAUCCACCAAUUAAAAAGUCUAUAAAUAAGUAUUUACUUGAUAGAUUAUAAUGUCUCCAAAGGGAGCAAUUAGGCUUUUAAGGAGAACUCUUAAACAUUCCCAUGAAGGUUUUAGUAUUUUCUUUAACACUCUGUCUUGCACAAACGCACAUUUUGGAAAUCGUGUUUGAAUAACCAGUAAUUUAUGGUUGUUAUUAUAUUACUUGUAAUUUGCACCCUGGUAAUAAAUGGUCCUAAAAUGACUACUGAUAAUGAUGUUCUACAGUAUUUCAAUAUGAAAAUGAUGAAAAUAGAGAGGCAGAUUUUCUUUCCUGCUACACUGUAAUGUACUUGAGUAUUUACUGGAACUUUGGUCUAAUUAGUGGUCAUGUAAGCAAAGUUUUCAUCCCACAAAGACCUUUUUUAAAUGUAUUUUACAUAUGGGAGAUAAGGGAAUUCAAAAUAGUGGGGCAGACUCUAAACUUGAUGUAAAUGUCUCUGAGCUGGGCUGAUUUAAAUUAGUUGAGCAUCUGGCCCAUUCUCUUUGAAAGCAGAUAAUUGGCUUCAGUAAUUGACUGAGAUUUGUAGGUUUCAUUUCUUUCAUUCUAUAUUUAAUUGUGUAAAAUAGUGACAUGCAAAUUUAGCCAAGAUUAUUAAAAUUAUUGAUCACCUACGCUAUCCAAUCAAGAACAAACUAUGUACAGUUAUAAACCAUUAGUUUUAGGUGAUAUUAGAAAUUCAUCCAAAUAGAAAAAAAUAACAAUAAUUAAAAGGAUCAGGGAUGUGUGUCAAAAUAUAAUUGCACAUUCCAGAGCUAGAAGAUUGUAAUAGUAGGACUAGCAGUCAUUCUUACAAGAGAGGGCAAGGGCAAAUGGUGAAAAAUUAAAACAUGAGUGAAAUGCCAGUAAAUGUCAUAUUAAUAACAGUAUACAUUACAACCUGCUGUGAUUUUUCUCUCCAGUGGGUCAUAUUUUUUUCUUCUUUUCUUCCAAGACAUUGACUAUGGAAGAAAGCCCUUUCUCCCAUCUCUGUCCCCAUUUCUCUAUAGUAUUGUUUUGUUUUUCCCUCCCUCACUUAAUUGAUGAAAUGAUUAGCUUCUAUAAUUAAUCUACAACCUUACAUAAUAUGAGAGAUAUGUAAGAACAGUGAAUGAGGGGCAUGAGAAAAUAAAUCCAGUUACUUUGAAAUGAGCUUGUUUAUGGAUUACAUUUUUCCCUAUAGAAAAUAUGGCUGAUUCAUAGCAGAUGCACCAUACUUUCCCUACAGACUUAAACUCAAAUGAAUCUAUACGUGUUAGCAGUAUUGUAGGUUAUAAAUCACAUCAUGUCAUAGUUAGCAAUGGCAACGGUGACAAAAGGUGACACACAUUAAUGAAUAGUAUGAAUAUAAACCUGAGAUGUUUAAUGGAGAGAUUUCCUCUCAGUUCCUGAAAGAAAGAUAGCUGAGAAACCACAAAAAAUGGCAACUUCUUGAAGACACUUUUUUUUUUUUUUUAAUCAGAAAUCUUGGUCAAAAAACUGUUUUUUGUUUGUUUGUUUGUUUGUUUUUGUUUUUUGUUUUCCUAUUCUUGAGGAAAUGUAGGCAUUUUUGGUAUGUUCAGGAACUCCUCAGCAGCAUAUGGGCUCCUCUCCUUGAGCUUCACGUUUACCCAUCAUAAAUACAAUUUCUUUCUAAAAACCUUGUGAUGUGUAUUUGAUGCACUGGGCAGUGCCUGAGUUAUUCAAGAUCAGUAGAAAAGAAUCUGCUACAUUAAAGCUAUUUAAAGAAAUAAAAUGAAAUUUCUAAUGGCUGUUUAAAAUGUGCAAGUAAAAAUGGGUCAGAAAAUUGCUUUCCUCAGGUAACUGAGCUGCAGCCUGUUGCGUUCUUCUCUGGACAAGGACCAUAUUCACAACCAAACCCAUUAGCAGAGUGUUUGAAAGAAUUAUAUCAGCCAAGGAACACCUUUUAAUUCUGAGUAUUCUCAAUGACUGAAAUUACGGGAAAGUGUCCAUUUCCCUUAAGUUACUUAAGUGCCCAAAGUGGCAAACGAAUACAAUUUUCAAAAGUAUAUACAUGAAUAAUCCUCAUUGAUCUGAGGAAUGAUCAAGUUCACCUAAGAAAUCCCACUUUGCACUCACAUCCUUCUGUGGUUAGGCAACCAAUCAAGACACCAUCCUUAUUUAUUUAAAUUUCUGCUUAACUGUGAGUAUGUGCUUAACAUUAAGCAUAGGUUUGUGUGCUUUUCUCAAUAAACAUAAGCAUGUGAAAAUCUCCCUGAUCUGAAGUACUUUGCAGGCUUCACUACUGAGAUAGCAAUUGCAAUACUUCUGUCUAACUUCCACAAUUUCCAAAUUCUGACAUUGUAAAUUAAGAUGCAGUAUCUUUUUGUCCCAUACCUAAGGGGAAUUUGAAAUCUAAUCUGUUAAUGUGGAAUAGAAAAUAGUUGGAGUAGACACUCAGGGUGCUUAUUCAAAGAGGAAAAUGAAGUCUUAGAAAAAUAAUCCUCAUUUAAAUCCCUUAGGCAGCAUUUUGAAAAUCUCUGGCUAGGAUAUCAACUGUGCUAGGGACUGAUACCAAACAAUAGCAAUAAUAAAAAAAGUUAUUUGGAUAGUCAGAAAGUAUUUGAUUAUCAAGUAAAUAAAGUGGGCCAUAAAUUUUUGCUGCUUAAAUAACUGCAUAGUUCUUUAUUUCUGAAAAGAUACAUUCAUUGAAUAAUAUAAAUAAAAGACGUGAGAUCCUCAAAAGGUUUUCAGUGACAACGUACAUGAUUGAAAUCAUUAUUCACAUAAUUAAAAAAGAGUAAGAAAUAUACAAUUCAUAGCCUAGCAAAAGAAUUAAAGGAAAAGGAAUGGACUGAGAAUUGUAACCAGUCUAUCUUUUAUAAAUAGGCUAUUCUAUCUUAGUCAAAAUGAAAAAUUAAAAAUUUGAAGCUUAUGAUCUAUACAAUAAUAUGCACAUAGGAGGACAGAAUUAUUAACUAGAUGAAAUGCUUAAGACAUACUUUAAUGGAGAGGGAAAGAUAUGCUAUUUUAUGCACUACUCCAUUUGUUUUGGAGUCAUAAAUUUCUUACUGUGUUUUGGCCACAAAAGAAACACCAGAUUGUGUUACAGACUGUGCAGAGGCUUGUAGGCACCAUCUUUCUUCACUUCGGCUCUUCCCUCUUCACCUGAGAAACAUCAAGCUGGAUCUCACAGGUGUUGCCAGCUUAGCCAGUGGAUUAGAUGACAAACAUCUUGAAUGGUUGAAAUCAGUAACAUUCUACCAAAUGCCAAACUGUUUCUGAGGACAGAAAAUUCUCCAGUGGGGGAGGAGGGAGACUCAAGGACUUUGCGGACUGCAGUGUACUAUGGUCUUCUUUCUAAUGACGGAGAGUGUCAGUCAUAUCCUUGCAAUUUGGCCAAACAUAAUUUAAUUCAAAAUACUCUGAACUAGGAGAUCACUAAUGUGUAAGUGAAUUCAGUUGAAUGUCUGCUAGCUAUACGAGCUAGACCAACUGGUUUUCCAUUUUUAAUCCUUCAUUGGCCUACAUGUCCUAACAAACAACCUUUUGCUUUUUUGUUAGUUUACAUUUAGAACUAUUUUUGGCAUAAAAUCAAAAUGGCAAGAGUCCAGAAACACUUAUUUUGGUGUGGCUCCUGUAGAGAUAGCAGGUCUUAAUAUAUUUUGCUCUGUAAGAGAACAUUUCUACACAGCAGUUACCUCUUACAGCAAGUCAGGAAACAUAAUUAUUGGAAAUUCAAGCUGUAGGACAAACUGAAUGCAUUUCUAAUGAAAAAGGAAAAGGACUGUAGUUUUAUUAUAAAGUAGGUGGCCUUACACUAAAAUACAAAACUUCUGUGUUCACUUAAGCAGAAGAUUUCCUGCCUGAAAGCCAGCUUUUUUCAUUUGUUAUCAUAGGCAGAAAUUAAAUGUUAUAGUACCACUCUGGGCCAGUUCAGAGUAAUUUUUCUUUCUUUUCUUUUUUUUUUUUUUUUUUGUAAAUGUUUACCGCUGCUUAUAAAUUUCAUGUUAUUAUUUUAUGAAAUGCCAGGCACUUCAGUCUGUGUUUACAGAUUUUGUUAAUCAAAUUGUUAAAUAUCUUUACAUACUUGUACUACUAGAUCCAUACAUAUCUGGAUCCAUAUAUAUUUGGAUAAUUUCUAGUGAAGAUUAGCAUCACUUCUUUGCUUUCAAAAGUGCAGCUACUCCCCAAAUUAAUAUGUGAGUAAAAAAUUCAAUAUAUUCAAUGUACCCAUUUGGAAUUGGUCCAAGUUACCUAAGUUCUCGUGCUAAAGCACAUUGAUCCAAAUUACUUACCCAUGUUGCAGUUUCUGCAAAGCAUAUGUUGUAUUUCUUAUAUAUCAAUUUUUUAUAUUAAAGAACUUGAUCCUAACAGCCUCAUAUGAAAACUUUUCUCAGGUUACUUAUAGACAGUGCUUAGUGAUUCAAAUAUUGAUGCUUAUUUUAAGCUGAAGUUUGAAUAAUAUAAGAAUGCUAAGUAUACAUAAAAUAAUGCCAUGAGUUAAACAAUAAUAAAAAUCUACAUUAAAAAAAAAAAAAUUCAAUCCAUCAGCUUCCUUUUACUUCCUUGAAUCAAAAUUGAAACAAAAUACAGAAAACCAUCUGGAAGCUAACAUGUCAGCUAGGAAGGGAUAUCUUAGAGCAGCAUUCUCAAUAUGUGUAAAAGAUAGCAUUAGGGAAGUCUAUUGCAAAUGAAAUCACCUAACUGACUGUGACUUAUGUUCAAGUUAAGCAUUUCUAUUCCUUGAUUCCAAGUACAGUAGUGGUUUUGGUCAUGGAUAGUCAUUAGGACACUACAGAGAUACUGGGUUUGCCUGGAUCCUGCUAUAUUUUUCAGUGACAUUGAGCAUCAUAUUUGCAGCUGGCCUAAUGUUGCACUGGCAGAGAGCUGUUUCCCUGGGGGACAGGAGGAAGCUCUUGGUCUAAGGGAUGAACUGAAGAGUUCAGCAGGGAGGGACUGGGAUUCCAUUUCCCUAUGAUGUUUCCAGUCUUUCCCUUUGCAAACAUAUCAGAAGUACACGUAGCAGAACAAAUGGGAAGGUUUCAUAAGGAGAAGGGGCUGCACCCCUUUGCUUUGCGCUCCUUUCAGUUUUCUAAAAAGGUGGGAGCCUGACUACAAAUUUUGCUGUGCUACCUAUGCAUCACUGAACUAGAGGAGUUAUGUCAACUUAAGCAUGAGAUUUCAGACCAAGAAGCCAAUCUUUAUUUAAUCAGUCUGAAAAAAUACUGUUUUGAGUACAUAUAUUUUUUCAAAAUGGCAAGGCAUGUUUUACAUUGUUUUCUUAUGGGAUAACACACUUUUUAUGAAAUAGCUUAUGCAUGUAUUAUAUACCUUUCUUGGUUCCACCAUGUACACAACAGUCCAAGGACAUUAUCCAGAUCUGGAGCAAACCCAAGAGGAUUUUCAUCCUGUAAAUAACAAGAUUUUUCCAGACUGCUCCAUAUAUAAUCUUGCUUUGUUAAAUAAAGAAGUAGUCAAUAGGAAGCUUUUCAGAUUCAUACAUCAUUUAAUACAAUACUUAUUGGUCUGAGUAAGUACAGAAAUCCAAGCUACAUGCUCAUACUAUUAGCUUAAUACAAACUGUAAUCUGCCUGAUUAUUUUCAGCCUACAUAGUAUUGUAGUUUAAAAAGGGUGAAUUUGUUUUCACAGUUGAUGUUUGAGUAAUGGAAAAGCAAUCAAUUUAAGCAUUUUUCUUAAAAAGUUAUUUCACUAAAUAAGUGGAAGUCUAUUAUAAAUUCCAUCAUUUCAAACUAGGUUGUAAAUUUAUGAUAUUUCUGGAUCUCUCUUCAUAAGUUUUUCCUAUGGGGGAUUGACUUAGUCCAUACUAGCAGGGUUUUUUACUAGUCAAUCGAUGCAGUUAUUCUCUGGUUUUGUAAAUGGAUGUUGCUUGCUGUGCUCUAUCUUGCUGCUGCACGAUUAGAAGGCUAGAAUCAAAAAGGAUGAACCAAAAGCUGUAUUUAUUGGUUUUAGCUUCGGUUUUGAAAACUGUAGUGCUAGAAGUACAAGAUGUUCAUGAAAAACUGUGGUGCUAAAAAUAAUAUGGAGCUUGCUGUGAAUAAGAGGAAAGUAUUAAUUGGAAAAAAAAAAUAGAGUAAGAAAAGGUUACAGUUCUCUCUGUUACAAACCCUUUUCAAGUAUAUGUUUCUAAGGUGAGACCAUUAGAUGACAAAAUUGCAAAAUCUCAGUGGUAUUGUGUAUAAGUGCUACCUUACUUGAAGCUCUAGGAAGAGGUUAGAAUUAGAGUGGAUGACUGUACACAUGGGACACAAUCUUCCUUUGCUUAUAAGAGUGGGUAAAUAGUGCAGAUAUUGCUGCUUACAGUUCUGUCCCCCUUUCAGUAUGGGGGUGUGAAUAAACGCAGUACUUCUCUUCCUUCUCUAAGAAUGCAGAAGUUAUACAGAAAGAGGUAAUUUUCUUGUUUCUUUGUUUUUCCCUCUUCACAUUGAAGUCAAUUUUAAGUAAUGUAUCCCAGAAACACACUUAAUUGGAGAUGGAGGUUCCUCCAGUGAAAGGUCAAAAUAUAAACAUCAUUACAGCCUUUAUGACCUGUGUCAACUACUUGUAACCAAUAAUAAAGAAGUCUGUACCAUUCCUACUUCCAAAAUGCAAAGUGAAAGCAAAAGCAAAAAAACUUUCCAAGGACCUUACUGAGAACUGAGGGGGACCUGGGUGUGGAUGGGUGUGGACCUGGGUGAGAAGGACCUAGUGGAUGAAAAGGUGGAUGUGAGCAGUGUGCUCUUGCACACAUUAGGAUCUUCUCCAGCAUAAGCCAUUCUGUGAUUCUGUGAAAUCUUCCUGGGUCUUUCAUUCUGCAUUUUGCUUUAGCAUUAGCCCAGGAUCUGUGCUUGAGCACCUUCUAUUAUCCCGUUUCUCAACAACUAGAGUUCUGUUUCCCCAAAAGGAUGGAUUAAUUAUUUUCAUAGUUAGAUAUUGGACAUAUGUUUUUGAAUGCAAGGGUGUCUGUCUUGUGGAAUAAAAUCCCAAGGAGAAUGAUAAGCCGUGCAUUUGACAAAGAAGGAAAAUGAAAUUUUGGUCAAUUCAAUAUAAGAUGUUGAGGUAGUAUUUAGUAUUCUUUCAGUUAUAUGAAGAAGUCCAUAAAAUAUGGAAAACAAUUUGUUUUGGAUAAUAUGAAGUAAUAAAGCAAGCUGUUGCCUACUUAGAAUCUUUCAUGUAUACAGAAAUAAUUUAAUUCAUCUACUGCAGCAUGAUUAAUUAUGAUUAUGACUUGUUUUAAAUGUCUGGUUCCAUUAUUAAUUUUGCAGCUUAUGUAAAAUAAGAUUUGCUCCUUUAAGAAAUAAUAAGUUAAAGAACAAGGCAGAUAUUUCCUGUCCACAGCAUCUUGAAAAAUUCAACUGCACACUGUUUAAAUCUUUUCAAAAUACACUUUUUUUAGAAGAUCAACAUCCUACUUUUUUUUAUAAAUCUUUAUUUUUUUUAUCUUUAACUAUAAUUUAUAAAAAUAAUUGCAUCUUCUAGGGACAUAGAGAGCAAUUAUUGACUCCACAAAUUGAGUUUUUAAAUUGAUUGAUGUAAAUAUACACAUUAAUUUUUCCAUAGAAUGAUUUGCAUUUUUGAUAAACUGAUAAUGAACAAUAUUUCAAAUAAAAAUAAAUCUACAGCAGUCUAGCUAACAAUAAGCACCUACUCUUUAGGAAGUGUGAAAAAGAAUGGACUUCUGUCUUUUUACUUGCGUAGCUAUUUGUGAAUUUCAGAUUUUUUGUGCUUACUCCUACGUUUCACUAUAUUGGUUCAUGGAAUCAUAGAAUUAUGAUGGUUCUUAACCACUCUGCAUUCCUCAAAAUAAAAACUUCACUUAAAAAAAGCUAUUUUGCCUGGGAGAAAUUGACAUCUAUCAUGUAGAUGUCAUGUAGAUCUACUUACAUGUAGAUUUUGAAAAAUAUGCAUGUUAGCAGGGAGUGCUUUCACAAGGGGUUCCAAAAGCAACUAGGAAGUUUACCACUUUUCCAUAUUUCUAUAUUUUGCAGCACAAGAACCUCUGUUUAUGUUGUACCUGAUUGAUCAGUUCGUUCUGCUCAGCAGGCCUCAUUUUUUAGGUAUAAAGGCAUGUGGUUUGCAGGAAGCUUUGUAACUUACUGUAAGUUGCAAGUAGCUAGGUUUUUUUUAUGACUUGUCUGUAAGAGCAACUCCAAAGGUAAGAACUUUAAAGUUCAAGGGUUAAAUUGAUACCCUAAAUUCAAUAAAGGGAUAUGCAUACAACAAUAACUUUGAGUAGAACUUCUGCAUGUGCAUCUCCAAAAAAAAAAAAAAAUCUUCAAGAUCCAAACAAAGCUAUUUCCAGAAGGCAUUGUGAGAUGCAUCUCCAUAUAGACAGUUUUGCUAGCUUCAAAAUUUGCCAAACAUUAUACUUUCUAGUAUGAGCUACUAUUAUCUCCUGUGUUUCUGCAAUUUAUUUCAUCUGUCAUAACUUCUAAACCAUGUGUGUACAGUGUUUUGUAUACAAUUAUUUUAAUUUUAAUAUCACUCUAAAUGAUUUUCAAAAUAUUAUUAAAUGUAUCUAAUACUUGACUGAGUUCAUCUUUGAGCUAUUGUGUAGCCUCAAAGAUUUCAAAGGACUUAAGAUUUUUUUCUGCCAAGUUUAGUAAUCUUACAGUGCACCGUGUUAAUUCACUAAGAAAAUCCUAGUUUAUGACCAAAUGUAUUGGUUAUUUCCAUUGGCAAGGGAUUUUGUACCUGCUUUUUUUCCACAUUGUGUAGUUCCAAGUGUCUUAGGUGCAAGCAAAUGAAUGUUUUUGAAUUCGUAUUCAUUCAGAAGAUUAUAACUGCUGAAUGUAAUCUAGAAAUGUUAAUAAAAGGCACCUUCUUUUUUUUCUUAAUUCUCAUAUAUUCCUUUUUUCUUCUUAAAUAGAGCAAAAUGCUAAAGUUGUUCCUAAAAAAAUGAAUUUAACCUGUUACAUAUUGAAAUUCAUCCUCUUCAUUCUAAUAGCAACGGUAUAUUUUUGCAGAAAUAACUGAACGAGUUCUUAAGAUGACACUCUAUACAUAAAUAUUAGUGUUGAGCAUGUGAAACACCAGAGUUGGCUUUUGAGAUUCAAUUAGGUUGUACUGGAGUGGAUACCAAAUGAAACUGACAUCAGAAUAAAAAAAUAUAUGAUUUUAAAGUACGAUUAUUUGAGAUAAUCAAUAUGCAACAGCAAAAACUGUUAGCCAAAUCAGACUAAAGUCAUCUUUGCAAUUGCUGCAGUGAGAAAGAUUUGACAGGUUUGGGCAGUUUAGAAAAUUAAGCAAUGCAAUUAACUAUCAAAAUAUAUCUUUAAACACCUAACUUUAUAUCUGUGGUUUACAAGCUAUGUUUUUUUUGCUGUUAUUAUCCACAGCAGAGUUGCCUACAUAUAUGCUGAGUCAGUGGGAAGCAGUGAGCAUGGAACAAAAUAGAUGGGUGAGUUGUGCCCAAGAAAUGCUUACUUUCUUCUGAUGACUAUAAUCUAAAGCUAGGUGAAAUAAAUCUCUACCACAGUUACUAAAAUCUUUAAUGUACUCAUUAGUACUGGCAGAUAUUUCAGUCAUUUGAAAUCUGCCUAACAUAAUCAGGGACUAAGGAUGAGAAUGCUCAGGUUUGGAUGUUGAACUAUAGGAAGUAAAGAGUAAAAUAGUGACUUUCUGACAAGGUGGAAGACAGAGAAUACAUCUUUCUUUUCAAGCUUUGUCUCUGCAGGAUUUUGUAGCUGUCAGUUUAUCCCUUCAUGUCUUGAGGCAGGAUCCACUUUACAGUUCUUAGAAACUAUAAAAUAAGAACUGAUAGUGUAUGUUACUCUCAAGACCUUUUAUUUUAGAUGUAAAUGUUCCCCUUUAUUUUCCUUAUGAUGCUGCUGCUAUAAAUAUUUGGUAACAGAAACUAGAUAAAUGAGAAUAGUAUCUUGUAGUUCUUCAUUACAUCUGCUUAUGCUUUAUAAUCCACUGUCAUCUAAAACUUUUGCUUGAAAACAAUUCCAGAAUUGAUAAUGAAGACUUCCUCUCUAAUCUGUGAAAUACUUUAAGGAGAUGUUGGUACUGUAGGCUUUCCUUUGCUAAGGUGAAAUAUCAUCUGAUCCCCAAAUCAGUGAACUUUACUUGGUCCAGUUGACGUUUCCACUUAACAGAUGAAUACUCUUCUUCUGCCUCUUGCUAUUGCUGUUAGUGACUUUCCUUGUGGUGCAGAUGACAGAAAGGAAAGCAACACAAAGCAGCAUGAGGGGAUGUGUUGUACAUCCUCAUGCUGCUCUGAACUAGUUGUUGCUGUCUGGAGAAGGUGAGCAGGGACAACCUGUAAGGAAAACACCCAACAAGUUCGUUUCCAAGCACUGGGGGAGAGAGGAGAUGGUUCAAAGUAAAGGUGUACUGCUGACCCUUUUGGUCAAAGUCUUAUCGUCAUCUGGCCAAAAUUUAAGCGCCUAUUUCCCUCUCUCUGAGCAGUAUGUAGAGGGAUUCUGGUUUGAGAGUCAUUACGCCUGUAGCAUUCCUGCCUUUACUCUCCCCUUCUUGGGAGAACUGCUUAUUCUGUCAUCUGGGAAACUUCUUAAGCUCUCACAUUUGUCAGAAAGGUUCUACUUUAUCUUGAUACCAAAUGGCAACUUUAGCUUUUAACGGAUGCUUAGACUGGAGCAAAAGCCACUAGAACAGAAUAAACUUCAUUAAUAAAUUAUAUAUGUAUUAACAAAGCUAUGCACAUGCCUGAAAAACAACAUGAGUACAGUGCCUGCACACUGUUUGGCCUAAACAGCAGGCAGCAUUAUUACCAGAGGGCCUUUCUGUUACUCUUAUAUUUGAAAUUCCUAUACUGUACAAAGUGCCACUAAGUGGUAUGAACAUUUUUUUUUUUAUUCCUUUCUUUCUCUUUUGGUAUGCAAUCUUCUCUUUACAGGAGUUUGAAAGGAAAUCCUAAAUCUGUUCUUUAACAUAUAAUUUUGGUAUCUAAAAACAGCGCUUGGGAUUAGCAGGCUUGUCAGAAAAACAAGAAUUUAGAUG
rnacentral:lncRNA from 1 species